AGGAAAGCCUCGCGAACAAGCAAGGCAUACCGACCAGAACUGAAGAAGCGGAAACACUCAACAAAGUCCAACUGCUAUCAAAAACUAAGAACCUGAAAUAAUAUUAAGAAUGAGGGUGAGUUCAACCAACUCAGUGAGGGAAUAACAUUUAAUAUACAUUUCAGAUAACUAUAUUUAUCUUGAUAUACAUAUACAUAUUCAUACUAAACAUAUUAUCAUAACGUAGUGGAUUACAUGUCAGAGAUCAGAUGACACCCGAAGGUGACCAGAUGACACCCGUCGGUGACCACUGUGGGAUGAUCAGUCGCCACAGGCUGAUGCCUCUCUCACCAGCUAGGUAACAAAAUACUAUGUGCACACAGGCUAACUAUUCUCCGUUAGCAUGGAGUUACUGACAAGUCCCAUAUCAAGGCAUAAUAGAUAUUCACAGAAUCAUCAAAGAAACGUAUAUCAUAUCAAAUAGAAUUUACUUUAUCAGAUUGCGAGUGCAAAUUCAAGAAUAAAUGAGUACUCGGAAAAUAAAGCAACAUAUAUAAAUAUUCAAGAAAUUUACUAGUUGUACUCAUUGUAUAAUCAACAUACAUAUUUAUUUAUAUUAUAUGCAUAUUAAAGAUUAUUCCACUCACCCGGAAAAUAUAGAACUAAAAGGAAUGUCGGACGAAAGACCCGAAAAUUCGAUUAAGGAUCGGUAGGAGAACCUACAAUAAAUAUAUGAAAUAUACUCAAAAACAAUUCAAACAAAAGAUCCCAAUGCAUAAAAUAAACCGGGCUUAAUCUCCUAAGUUUAGGGACUAAAACGACAAUUUUCCAAAAUAGGGAACCAAAACGUAAUUUUACCAAAUUAAUUGAGGACCAAACUGUAAAUACAUAACCAUACUGAAAUUAUCCAUAAUUCGUCCUUAUCUUUGUCCAGAAUCUUGAAUUAUGCCCCAAGGUCCAAAAUGUGAUUUUAUCAAAUUUAGGGGUCAAAUCGUAAUUUGUCAAAUUGGAGGACCAAACUGAAAAAAUAUUAAUUAUACUAAUUUGCCUUAAUCAUUAUUCUGUUCAGAACCUCAAUAUGCCCCAGGGACCAAUCUGUAAAUUUCCAAAGUUCGGGGACUAAACUGCAAUUUCCAAAUUGAGGGACCAAACUGAAUUUUCGUCAUCUUCAACCUCAAACCCAGAAUUUCAACAGAUCACCUACUGUUAUCCCCUGAUUUCUAACACAAUUUCACCAUUUAAACAAAAUCAUAACUCAAAAUCAUUAUCCUUCAAUUCAAUCUCUCAAAAUCAACUAAUUAAUCAAAUACCCACAAUAAUCAACUCCUAACCUUCAAAUUAAUUCAUCAAUUAACUCAAAAUACAAACUUCAAAACCUAACAUUAAUCAAAACCGAAAUUAAACAUAUUAUACACUUCAAACCAUAAAUCUUACCUUUUAAACUUAUUUCCUCUACUUCUCUUCCUUUUCCCCUUAUUUUCCCUUCUUUUCUCUUCUUCUUCUUCUUCCUCCCUUCUCUCUUACGGUUUGUUCUUCAAAUUUUCAGAUCCCUCUUUCUUUUUCUAUUUAUAUUUAUCAACUAUUUAUCCAAUUACCAUAAUACCCCUUAUUCAAAUUUACUCACUCUUUAAGCCUCCAAGGGCUUUAUUGUAUUUUCCAAUCUUAAACUCAAAAUAUUACAAUCUCCCCACCUUAUAAAAGUUUCGUCCUCGAAACUUAAUAGAAAAGAUUGAAUACUUACCGAGAUUAUUGAAAAGAUGAGGAUACUCCUCACGCAUCUUAUCCUCGAGCUCCCAGGUCGCUUCCUCACGUGAAUGACCUUUCCAUUUCACUUUCACUGAAGCUAUAUCCUUCGACCUAAGCUUCCUCACUUGUCGGUCAAUUAUAGCUUCCGGUUGCACCUCAUAAACCAUAUCAUCUCUCAAUUCAAUGGGAUGAACCUCUAACACAUGUGAUGGAUCUGGCAUAUACUUCCUUAGCAUGGAAACAUGAAAUACCGGAUGGAUGGAGGAUAGAUUAGGUGGCAAGGCAAGCCGAUAUGCCACUACCCCUACUCUUUCCAAGAUCUCAAAGGGCCCUAUAAACCUAGGGCUCAACUUUCCUUUCUUCCCAAAUCUGAAUAUUCCUUUAGUCGGGGAGACUUUUAGGAACACGUUGUCACCCACUGAAAAUUCUAGAUUACGCCUCCUCUUAUCCGCAUAAUUCUUUUGUCUGCUCUGAGCUGUUUGAAGCUUAUCUCGAAUCACCUUAAUCUUAUCCGAAGUAAUCUGUAUUAACUCGGGACCCAUUAAUCUCCUCUCUCCAACCUCAUACCAACAGACAGGUGAUCUACACUUCCGGCCAUACAAAGCCUCAUAUGGAGCCAUAUCAAUGCUCGCUUGAUAACUAUUAUUAUAUGCAAACUCCACCAAAGACAAGUAUUUGCUCCAUCCGACACCAAAGUCAAUCACACAAGCUCUUAACAUAUCCUCCAAAAUUUGUAUAGUCCUCUCAGAUUGUCCAUCUGUUUGAGGAUGAAAAGCAGUACUUAACUGAACAUUAGUCCCCAAAGCUUCCUGAAAUUUCACCCAAAACCGAGAAGUGAACUGUGGACCUCUGUCAGACACAAUUGAGAUGGGCACACCAUGCAACCUUACAAUCUCGUUAACAUAGAUUUCUGCGAGUUUUGCAAACCCAUAUGUCACCUUUACUGGCAAGAAAUGAGCUGACUUGGUUAAACGAUCAACUAUCACCCAAACCGAAUCAUAACCCUCCUGACUCCGAGGCAAGCCUGACACAAAGUCCAUAGUGAUCCUCUCCCAUUUCCAUUCAGGAAUCAACAAUGGCUGCAAAAGCCCUGGUGGUUUCUGAUGCUCACCUUUAACCCUCUGACAGGUCAAGCAUCGAGAUACAAACUCAGCAAUGUCCCUCUUCAUACCAUUCCACCAAUAACACUCUUUCAAGUCUCUAUACAUCUUAUUAGAACCAGGAUGUAUAGUAUAGGCAGUUUGGUGUGCUUCCAUCAUCACAUCUCUUUUCAAAUCAUCCACCUCAGGCACACACAAUCUUGAACCAAAUCUCAACACACCAUCUUCGUGGAUAACAAAACCCGGAGCUCUCUCUAACUCCAAGUCAUCUCGAAUUUUGCAAAGUUGUUCAUCCUUCAUCUGAGCUACUUUAAUCCGGUCUACCAAGUCUGACUUAGCCUGAAGUGAGCCAACAAUGCUCCCGAUUCACAAAUCUCAAAACUGACUCUCUCAUCUAACAAUCCGUGUAACUCUUUAAUCAAGGGUCUCCUCACCUCCUGAAUAUGAGCUAAACUACCCAUAGAUUUUCGACUUAAAGCAUCAGCAACAACAUUUGCCUUGCCCGGGUGAUAUUGAAUCGUGCAAUCAUAAUCACUUAACAAUUCUAUCCACCUUCUCUGUCUCAAAUUCAGAUCCUUUUGCUGAAAAAUAUAUUGAAGACUCUUAUGAUCUGAAAAUAUCUCACAUGUCUCCCCAUACAAGUAGUGGACUAAAACGACAAUUUUCCAAAAUAGGGACCAAAAUGUAAUUUUACCAAAAUUUGGAGAAAUUGGAGGACCAAACUGUAAAUACAUAACCAUACUGAAAUUUAUCCAUAAUUCGUCCUUAUCUUUGUCCAGAAUCUUGAAUUAUGCCCCAAGGUCCUAAAUGUGAUUUUAUCAACAUUUUAGGGGUCAAAUCGUAAUUUGUCAAAUUGGAGGACCAAAUUGAAAGUGUUAAAUUCUCUUAUCUAUACAGUAAUUCUGCCCAUAAUCCAUAUGUUAUUCUGUUCAGAAUCUCGGAAUAUGCUCCAGGGACCAAUUUGUAAUAUUUCCAAAGUUCGGGGACUAAACUGCAAUUUUUGCAAAUUGAGGGACCAAACUGAAUUUUCGUCAUCUUCAACCUCAAACCCAGAAUUUCAAUAGAUCACCUACUGUUAUCCUCUGAUUUCUAACACAAUUUCACCAUUUAAACAAAAUCAUAACUCAAAAUCAUUAUCCUUCAAUUCAAUCUCUCAAAAUCAACUAAUUAAUCAAAUACCUACAAUAAUCAACUCCUAACCUUCAAAUUAAUUCAUCAAUUAACUCAAAAUACAAACUUCAAAACCCUAACAUUUAUCAAAACCAAAAUUAAACAUAUUAUACACUUCAAACCAUAAAUCUUACCUUUUAAACUUAUUUCCUCUACUUCUCUUCCUUUUCCCCUUAUUUUCCCUUCUUUUCUCUUCUUCUUCUUCUUCCUCCCUUCUCUCUUACGGU
rnacentral:lncRNA from 1 species